UAGCAUAUCAAUAAGCGGAGGAAAAGAAACCAACAGGGAUUGCCCUAGUAACGGCGAGUGAAGCGGCAGCAGCUCAAAUUUGAAAUCUGGCUUCGGCCCGAGUUGUAAUUUGUAGAGGAAGCUUUUGGUGAGGCACCUUCUGAGUCCCCUGGAACGGGGCGCCAUAGAGGGUGAGAGCCCCGUAUAGUCGGAUGCCGAUCCAAUGUAAAGCUCCUUCGACGAGUCGAGUAGUUUGGGAAUGCUGCUCAAAAUGGGAGGUAAAUUUCUUCUAAAGCUAAAUACCGGCCAGAGACCGAUAGCGCACAAGUAGAGUGAUCGAAAGAUGAAAAGCACUUUGAAAAGAGGGUUAAAUAGCACGUGAAAUUGUUGAAAGGGAAGCGUUUGUGACCAGACUUGCGCCGUUCCGAUCAUCCGGUGUUCUCACCGGUGCACUCGGGGCGGCUCAGGCCAGCAUCGGUUUUGGCGGGGGGAUAAAGGUCCGGGGAACGUAGCUCCUCCGGGAGUGUUAUAGCCCCGGGCGUAAUGCCCUCGCCGGGACCGAGGUUCGCGCAUCUGCAAGGAUGCUGGCGUAAUGGUCAUCAACGACCCGUCUUGAAACACGGACCAAGGAGUCAAGGUUUUGCGCGAGUGUUUGGGUGUAAAACCCGCACGCGUAAUGAAAGUGAACGUAGGUGAGAGCUUCGGCGCAUCAUCGACCGAUCCUGAUGUAUUCGGAUGGAUUUGAGUAAGAGCGUUAAGCCUUGGACCCGAAAGAUGGUGAACUAUGCUUGGAUAGGGUGAAGCCAGAGGAAACUCUGGUGGAGGCUCGCAGCGGUUCUGACGUGCAAAUCGAUCGUCAAAUCUGAGCAUGGGGGCGAAAGACUAAUCGAACCAUCUAGUAGCUGGUUACCGCC
rnacentral:rRNA from 1 species